GUGUCAGCCGCCGCGGUAAGACAGAGGGUGCAAACGUUGCUCGGAAUCACUGGGCGUAAAGGGCGUGUAGGCGGGAAGCUAAGUCAGGUGUGAAAUCCCCAGGCUCAACCUGGGAACUGCACUUGAAACUGUCUUUCUUGAGUGUCGGAGAGGAAAGUGGAAUUCCUGGUGUAGAGGUGAAAUUCGUAGAUAUCAGGAGGAACACCGGUGGCGAAGGCGGCUUUCUGGACGACAACUGACGCUGAGACGCGAAAGCGUGGGGAGCAAACAGGAUUAGAUACCCGCGUAGUCC
rnacentral:rRNA from 1 species